UUUACGCACGACUGUAAGUCGCUUUGGGUAGAAGCGUCUGCUAAAUUGUAUACA
rfam:Salmo salar isolate Sally breed double haploid chromosome ssa13, whole genome shotgun sequence.